GAGACAUUCUGAGCACAUUCCUACAAACAAACAAAAGCCACUUGCAGGAAUGCUUAUGGAAGACCAAAGAAUUGUGAACAUCCCUGGAGCAAUAUUCACCCAGCUCCCAGCCCAAGCAGAUUCCUGGGGCCACAGCACUGGACAAGCACUCAAAGAAAAAAGGCUCAGUGGCUAUUCCUAGAGGUGAAGGCAUCAAAGGUGAAUACUGACCCCAGAGGGAAUGUUAUGGUCGAUCUCAGCGGGAGCAGGUUUCACCCCCAGAAGACAGCUGGCAACAGACAGAGACUGCCUGCAGCAUUCUUCUGGGCUAGGCUUACUGCCUGGUUCCAGAAGAUACUUAGGUGUUCAGCAUGCAAACACCAGCGUCACAGAGCAAAAUGGCAGCUGUCUCAAUCCCUCUAUUAUCAGAUUACCGAAAAUGUGGUUAGACAAAGGCACUUUGAAGUGUCUUCAUGGGAGAUUAUAGGAAGAAAAACCUCCAUUCACAGCCACGGGAGGAUAGUUGAGAAAAGGAAAUCUGCACAAGAGGAAACAUCUGUGAACGGCUGGAAGUGGGUGUCUGGGCAAAGAUGUGUUUACAAUUUUACACCUGAUGGAGCAAUGAGGUAUGAGCAGGAAGACGGGUAAAUUAGGGAAGGGAAGUAAGCAUUGACAUAACCAUUGAUAGUUCUGUUGUGUUACUG